rnacentral:rRNA from 1 species
CUUUAGACCUAGAUGAAGGCUGCAAGGUGAAUAAUCUUGCAGUUUGACAGUAUAGGUAGAAUAAGCCACGGCUAACUCUGUGC